CUGAAACCUGAAAUCCUUUUCCCUUUCUCUUUCUCUCUCUCGUGUCUCGUCUCUGCUAGGCCUGAUGGUCGCCACUCCGAACUCCAACGACGACCGCGCCAACCCAGCUACUCCACCGGCCAACAAAACUUCGACCCCCAUGAGCCCAGCCCCUCACACGUGGCUUAAGACCCUCAACGGAGCCUUCGAAGCUUCAACUAUUCAAUGAACUGUUUUCCUGCGAACUCUGGCGUUGUUCGGGAUAAUGGUUGGUAUUGUUGAGUUAAGGGAGUCAAGACUUAAAAGCCAUCAGAGUUUAGGGAAAGGUUCGUCAGAAUCCAUGGUGAUUCUGAACCUUUAAGUGUAGAUCCAAUCUCGUUUGAGUCGUUCCAAGAGAAACCACCACCACCAUGAUGUUUCUCGGGCUUUGGGCUUCGAAGCCCAGUCACUGUUUUCCCAAACCACCAUCAUGGGGUGGUGGCGCCGCCGCCGUCGCCGGAGCUCCGAUGGGAGUCUCGGACAAUCGCCACUUUUGGUAGUUCCGAGGUUCAUCUCGAGCUCCAAACAUCACCCUCAAGCUCGUUGCACUAUCCCAAGCACUAUGGAUAAAAGACUAUGGGAAAAAUCUUGGUUGAUAAUUCUUGCUGAGAAAUAUUAUAUAUCUAAGAACCUGAGAUGUGGCUUAAUACUUGGACCUCUUGUGGACUCCGGACUCGGACUUUUAUGAAUAGUAUUUUCAGAAGUCUUGUGUUAUUAAAGUUAAAAAAUUAUAAAUUUUCUGCAUUUUUUAUAGACUUUGAGAUAUGGUUUUAGUGUUAGAUGCCUGACAUAUUUGUAGGAAUUGUCCUAUGAGUGUGCGGAAGACGUGCUCGAUGUAGCGGGUCGUUACAGUAUGUUCCCAAGCACUUGUAGUUCUAUGACUCAAAUAUAUUAGGAAUUCGGACAUAAGAAUAUUGAACCUUACCCGAUAAGUCAAAAGUCAUAAAGCACAAAUAGGAGUUCAUUACUCACUGCAGGAUUGAGGUCAAGUCUCAAACGACCAUCGAUUGAUGAAUGUUGACUUCUAUAUUUUAACAGAGAUUAUCAGAAGUUCUUUCUUCCAUUGUGUCCCAGUCCAAUACAAUCUAUAUUGUAUACGACACCUCUAUUUCUUUGUGUCGCUACA